rnacentral:rRNA from 1 species
GAAGAACGCUGGCGGCGUGCUUAACACAUGCAAGUCGAGCGAGUGAGUUCUUCGGAACGAUCUAGCGGCGGACGGGUGAGUAACACGCGGGCAACCUGCCUCAUAGAGGGGAAUAGCCUCCCGAAAGGGAGAUUAAUACCGCAUAAAAUUAUCGAGUGGCAUCACAUGAUAAUCAAAGGAGUAAUCCGCUAUGAGAUGGGCCCGCGGCGCAUUAGCUAGUUGGUGAGGUAACGGCUCGCCAAGGCGACGAUGCGUAGCUGACCUGAGAGGGUGAUCGGCCACAUUGGGACUGAGACACGGCCCAGACUCCUACGGGAGGCAGCAGUGGGGAAUAUUGCACAAUGGGGGAAACCCUGAUGCAGCAACGCCGCGUGAGUGAUGAAGGUCUUCGGAUUGUAAAGCUCUGUCUUUGGGGACGAUAAUGACGGUACCCAAGGAGGAAGCCACGGCUAACUACGUGCCAGCCGCCGCGGUAA